rnacentral:SRP_RNA from 1 species
AUUUUUGUAUUUUCAAAUAGUUAGACUUGCUAAGUUGAGGCAGGAGGAUUGCUUGCAUUCAGAAGUUCUGGGCUGUGGUGCACUAUGCCAACUGGGGGUCCAUGCUAAGUUCAUCAUCAAUAUGGCGACCUUCCAGGAGUGGGGGACCACCAGGUUGCCUAAGGAGGAGUGAACUGACCCAGGUAGGAAAUGGAGCAGGUCAAAACCCCGUGCUGAUCAAAUAGUUAGACUUUUAGCAGUUAUACAAAUGCCUGUGUAAAGUCUCCUACUUUGCCUUU